UACGGAGGGUGCGAGCGUUGUCCGGAAUCAUUGGGCGUAAAGCGCGUGUAGGCGGUUCAGUAAGUCUGCUGUGAAAGUCCAGGGCUCAACCCUGGGAUGCCGGUGGAUACUGCUGGGCUAGAGUACGGAAGAGGCGAGUGGAAUUCCCGGUGUAGCGGUGAAACGCGCAGAUAUCGGGAGGAACACCUAUUGCGAAGGCAGCUCGCUGGGACGUUACUGACGCUGAGACGCGAAAGCGUGGGGAGCAAACAGG
rnacentral:rRNA from 1 species